rnacentral:rRNA from 1 species
UCUACUUACGGUACCCGAUGGAAUAUACCCAAUCCCUUACUGAUAAACGGAAGUCAAGCAAUCUCGGGCUUGGUUAGUACUUGGAUGGGUGACCGCUUGGGAAUACCAAGUGUGAUAAGCA